CAGAGAUGAAAUUACUCCUGUUUAGGUGAUUUUGUAAAAUGCACUAUCUCUCACAGCCCCUGGACAUCAUAAGGGAAGUGGCAGCAGUAAUUUAAGAGAUGUCUGCAGACCAAGGUGAAUUUAGUGAAUAUCAAAAACUUCUUGAGUGCUCCAUCGUAACGCCAUUUAUCUUGACAUAAACUGCAAAGAUGGCUCAAAUGUCGAUAAGGAUAUCAGUUCAGGGUCUCCAGUGGCUGCAGCCUAUCCCAGAAGCUCAGGGUGCAAGGCAAGAAGUAAUCGUGGGACCAGGCGCUGUGGCUCUCGCCUGUAAUCCCAGCACUUUGGGAGGCAGAGGCUGGUGAAUCACUUGAGGUCAGGGGUUCCAGACUAGCCUGGCCAACAUGAUGAAACCUCAUCUCCACUAAAAAUACAAAUAUUAAUUGGAUGUAGUGGUACACGCCUGUAAUCCCAGCUACUCGGGAGGCUGAAGCUUGAACCCGGAGGCAGCGGUUGCAGUGAGCUGAGAUCGUGAUACUGCACUCCAGCCUGGGUGAGGGAGUGAGACUCUCUAAAAAAAAAAAAAAAAAAAGACUAACCAUGGGCAAGACAUCGUCCCAUUGCAGGGUGCACUCACACACACCCACACUCACUCACACUGGAACAGUGUAGACACACCGAUGAACCCAACAUGCACAUCUUUGGGAUACUAGAGUAAACUGGAGUGCUUAGAGAAAACCCAUGAGAACAUAGGAAGAACUUGCAAACUCCACACAGACAGUGGUCCCUGCAGGGUUUUUCUGUUUGUUGGUUGUUUUUCCUUCAUCAAGUUUGUAAUGAAACGAUGUUGAAUGAUAAAAUAUUAUUUGAGGAAUUGUUGUACAAGGAUUUUGGCAUUUGUCUGGAUAUGGAAAUCAAAGACAUUUUAAAGUGAUUAUAAAUCUUUGUACAUGUUGACAAUAUUCAAUUCAGUUAAAGGCUUUAUCACAGUACAUUGUGACCUCUCUUUAAAUGGUUACAUUACUUUGAGCUCUGAAAAUUUGUUAUACUUACAUUGUUCUAAUUGUUCAUAACUAGGAAUUCACUGACUCUGCUUUAAUGUAUGCUAGGAAAACUGAAGUAGAUAAAUCAUACUUCCCCUUUCAGUCUCCUUCUCUCUUUUGGAUUUAAUUUUAACUCGAGGUUUAUUACUUUCAGAAGUUACACUCAUGUUGCUGCAAAUGUAUUUUUUCUAGUUGUUAAUUUGUUCAUGACAUUCUGCUUGAUGAUAGUAAUAUUAUGAUGAAGGUGCCUCAGAUAUCAAAAAAGAUUUCAAGUCUAUAGAACGUACCUCUAGCUACAGAGUCACAGGAUAUGUGACAGCAAUGAUAUUAGGGGAUGCCGAGCUGGAAACCCAAUUCAGCACCAGAGACAGAAAUACUGUAUUUUGACUCAUUCAUCUUACAUGGAAGAUGAAGCCUGCCAAUCAAGUAGAAAAUGUAGGCCUCCAAGACAAUAACUCACCUGCCUUUUUUUGGUUUAUAUUUUUCAUCUUGGUUAAAAAGUAUCCAUUGAUAGGGGAUUUAGUCAAAACAUUAAAGAAGACAUAAGAUAGCCACCAAAUCUAAUUAUUUCCAACUACUAAAUAUCAGAGCUUUAAAAAAAUUGUUUUUAACUGCAUUUGCUUCAUUUUUCUUAUGGGAUAUUAAUAGAAAAAUGGAGUGCAUUUCUAACAGUUGCAUUUUUUCAUAUGUGUGGCUAUGUUUAUGCUGAUAUUAGUUAAAAGUUCUAAAAACAAGCAAAGAAAAUAUACACAGUUUUUUGACAUUGAUUGGUUGAUAUAAUAAUUAUGUAUAUUUACUUAAUAUGCAUAAUUUAAAAAUGUAUAUUUUUAUGUAUAUAUAUUUAUACGUAUAUAAUUAUUUAUAUUUACUUAAUAUACAUAAUUAUUACUAUGAGCUUGGGCAAAAAAUGUAUUUUGGCAUUCCACUGUUCAGUUUUAAGUCAUUU
rnacentral:lncRNA from 1 species